UUUCUUUCGUAUUUAUAACGACAACAUGGUCUCCGCAAUCAUCUGAAAAGGGACAUUAAAAUAAAGCAAUUCGAUUAUAAAUAAUUAAAGGGGGCAUAUAUUUAAAGAAACACAUAUAAUUACAUAGGAAUACAUUGUGAAAUAAGGGCCGAAAGAAAAACACAAAGCAUAUUUUCCAAAUUUUUGAUGCAACACACCGUAGAAGUGAUUACAACCGGAAAGAAAUCGCUUAUUUCAGAAACUUCCAUGUUUAUAAUAAAAGAACGAAAAUGAUCAAGUUAA